rnacentral:rRNA from 1 species
UACGGGGGGAGCAAGCGUUGUUCGGAUUUACUGGGCGUAAAGGGCUCGUAGGCGGCCAACUAAGUCGGAUGUGAAAUCCCCAGGCUUAACCUGGGAACUGCAUCCGAUACUGGAUGGCUUGAAUCCGGGAGAGGGAUGCGGAAUUCCAGGUGUAGCGGUGAAAUGCGUAGAUAUCUGGAGGAACACCGGUGGCGAAGGCGGCAUCCUGGACCGGCAUUGACGCUGAGGAGCGAAAGCUAGGGGAGCAAACGGG